rnacentral:rRNA from 1 species
GAUGAACGCUGGCGGCGUGCCUAACACAUGCAAGUCGAGCGAUUCUCCUCGGAGAAGAGCGGCGGACGGGUGAGUAACGCGUGGGUAACCUGCCCUGUACACACGGAUAACAUACCGAAAGGUAUGCUAAUACGAGAUAAUAUGCUUUUAUCGCAUGGUAGAAGUAUCAAAGCUCCGGCGGUACAGGAUGGACCCGCGUCUGAUUAGCUAGUUGGUAAGGUAACGGCUUACCAAGGCGACGAUCAGUAGCCGACCUGAGAGGGUGAUCGGCCACAUUGGAACUGAGACACGGUCCAAACUCCUACGGGAGGCAGCAGUGGGGAAUAUUGCACAAUGGGCGAAAGCCUGAUGCAGCAACGCCGCGUGAGCGAUGAAGGCCUUCGGGUCGUAAAGCUCUGUCCUCAAGGAAGAUAAUGACGGUACUUGA